GAGGCUAAGCAGGGCCUGCGAGUGCGGUUUUAAGGGCUUGGCGGGAACACGCGUGAGGCCGCAGCUUCUUGCUCGGGAUGAGAAAAUUAUGGCUCAGAAAGGCACAGCUUGUCUGCAUUUAAACAGCUAGUUGACAGAUUGGCUGGGACUUCGUUUUUGUCAUCAAAGUCAGUGCUCUUUAAGUUUAAAAAUGGAAGAUUGCAAAGCAUUUCACAGCAGAGGUUCCCCAGCCCACCACCCUUCCGGGAAUGCAAAUGGACAGGAGGUCACAGAACACACAACUCAUUCCCCUGACUGACUCACCUUGAUGUUGCUGGUCCUCUGGAAUCUUCAGUCUACAGGUGUGCACACUGUUGAACAGGUG